UUACCAAAAAUACAAUAUUUCAAUAUAUAUCCCCAAAAUAAAUUUACCUAUAUCUAAACAAAAUCACCCAACUUAUAAUCUGACAAAGUACCGAGAGGGAAACAUUAAUACCCCCCCAGCCGGGUUAAACCCCCGUACCUUGUGCAUCAUGGCCUAGCAAUAAUAAAGCUAAUGCUCAAUCCCGAAACUCAAACGAGCUGUAAGUGUUCUGUUUAGAACUUACUAGUAUAUGUUGCAAGAUAUUUAGAAGAAACCCUUACAGUGGCUACAUACCACCCGCGUUGAGAUAUAGCUGGUUUUUCAAGAAUUAUAUAUAAGUAUACCUAACAUAAUAAACCUCCAUAUGUUAAAUCGAGAAUAGGGGGCAAAGCUCCUAUCCCCUCUCAAUCUAAAACAAAAGCAUUAAUUAAAAGUAGGCCUCACAGCCGCCAACUUUUAUAACGCGUUAUAGCCAAAAAUUCACUUUUAGCAUAAAUUUAUCUUAACUCCAUGAGUAAACUAUUGAAAAAUUCAGUAUAACUUUUAACUGAAAAUAUUCUGCUAGGAUUAGUAUUAGAAAUUUAAUAAACCUUACUUUUAAAUUCCUGCUAAAUAAACUUUAACUUCUAGMUACUUGAAAGGAACUCGGCAAAUUAUGGCUUUGACUGUUUAACAAAAACAUUGCUUCCUGAAAAUUAUAGAAGGUACAUCCUGCCCGGUGACCCAAGGGUUUAACGGCCGCGGUACUCUGACCGUGCUAAGGUAGCGUGAUAAUUGGCCCUUUAAUUGUGGGCUUGUAUGAACGGGACAAACGAGAGCCAAACUGUCUCUCAGGUAUUAUAUAAAAAUUGGCCUUUCAGGUGAAAAGACCUGGAUUAAAUCAUAGGACAAGAAGACCCCGUAGAGCUUGGUCUCUCUUAUAUUAUAGAGAAAAGUAUUAUACCUAUUCCCUAUAUUUAAACGAGAGACUCAGCUGGGGCGGCUGAGGAAAAUUUUAAUCUUCCAUCUUAAACACAUCUUUAAAUAGAGCAAUAAGGCAUCCCGCCUAACCUAAACUGACCCUUCAGGAUCAGAGAAAAAUAGCUACCUCGGGGAUAACAGAUUAAUCCUUCUUGAAGAAGUUCUUAUUGACAGAAGGGCUUGACACCUCGAAUGUUGGCUUAGGGUAUCCUGGGGGUUGCAAAAGCUUCCAAGGGUAGGUUUGUUCAACCUUUAAAACCCCUACAUGAGCUGAGUUCAGACCGGCGCGAGCUAGGUCAGCUUCUAUCCUUGAUUAAACCAUUUCUUGAUUGUACGAAAAGGACCUUGAAGAAAACGGGAAUCCCGAGAACACUAAGAAAUAAAAUAAAUUAUAACUAAACCUUUUACAACACACACUAUGCCC
rnacentral:rRNA from 1 species